UACGUAUGUUUUGCACUUUUGCUGGUAAACAAGAUGAGAAAAGAAAGCUUCUAUGAUUUUUCUAAGCUUCUAUAAGUUUUCUUUCUUUUUAGGGUGGAGGAUGUUGUGCUUGUAAAUAGUAAUGUAAUUGUACAGGUAAUUUCUGGCAUGGUUUUCUGAAUUGCAUGUCAAAUUAGAAUUAAGUUUGAAGAGGUGAAGUUCGUUUUCUUGUUUUAACAAGCUUGUCUUUUCUUGAACAUUUUGGGUUCUCUAGUGGACCUUUUUAGAUGCUUCAUCCAGAUUUUAGAAUGGGAGAAACCCCAGCUAGAGAUAUCCAAAUCUAUCAGAGAGAGAAAAAAAAGAACAAAAGGAUCUUCGCCCUAAUUUAUGGUAUGCCAAUGGGAACUACCAAUUGGCUUGAGUUUAGUUAUGGUAAAAGGGAAGGUGAUUUAUGGAGGCUGUUGCUAAUUAACUAUGGUUUUGUAUGUUAUCAGAUAAUGAAUGUAUUUGGCCGAGAUCACAGUCCAUUUCUUAUUGUAGUUCCAUUACUCUGUCUUUUUUAUCUUCUUCUUUCUGUGGUCAAAUUCCGACUGUCUAUACAUGUUCAGUAACAUAAAGAUUCAAUUGAUUCCGCUGCUCCAAUGUUGUUUCUUUUGUAAGGUUUAAAUGCAGUGUAACAUAUAUGCUAGGGGUUGGCCAAUGUGUCAAGGAAUUACAUGAAAUGGAUUGCUUAAUCUCACUUGCAAGAGAUUGGAUUUUUAAAAAUAUUUUGGUUAACCGGAUUUUGCAUGUCUACUCAGUUAGUGUUGCUCCAUUUUGGAGGAUCAAUAUGAGCUUCUGCUAUUCUCGGUCGUGGUUUUCACUUUGCAAAUUAAUCUUCUAUUCAAGUAUCCUCAUAAAAAUCUUCUACCUAUGUUGCCAGCAUGAUAAUGCGACUUCUCAAUCUUGGGCUAUAGCAAGGUUAAUAGGCAACAGUAUAACAUUGGAGAAGGCUUUGAAGACCAGGACUAAUGUGCUUUGUCAGGAAGCUAACUAUGGAGAUUAAGAAACAUAUCUUCUCGAAGAGAAACACUAGGAUGGAUAUGAAAUUUCACUACUAACACGGUUACUAGCUGAAAGAAAAUUAGAAAAAGAGAAUCAUGUCUAGCAUGUAAAGAGACUGGAGUUUAGUCGGUUGAAUUACAGAGACACGGUUCGUGAAUUACCUCAAAUGUUACAUGGCUAUGAUUUUCUCAGGAGACACUAGCAGAGGAAGCAUUUUUACCAUGCCCCUGAUAUGAUCAGCUUAUAGCUCAUCUGAUUCUUAGAUGUUUUUUUGCAUAUAUUGUCAUCGAUCUCUGCAUUUGAGAAAAUUAGCUCGAGUGCAUAAGAUGUAUUUGCUUUGCUUUUGCCCAAAACUUUUCUACUGUAAUCUUUUUAGUUUCCCACUCGAUGUCCAGUACCCUGCAUUUGGGGGCCUGACUACUUCGGAUUUGUAAUGACCCUGAAGGUCUUUUUUGGAAUUUUUGUAAAACGACCACUUUACCCCUCCCUAUAGUUGCCCCGAGUCGUUUCUAAUUGGUAUCGGGUGUUGAUUUUUAGAAAAUCUUCUGAAAAGUUAAGUCUUUUAAAAUUUUGAGUUUUCAUAAGCUUUAAGUGUUCAAAAGUGGCAUUUGGGACCAACCGGAGCUACGGGUCUCGAAACGAAAUUUCGUCGAUUUCAGCAGCCCUGGAAUGUUAAAAUUGGCCUAGGAGAGUUUACAGAAUCAGUUUUAGAGUUGUAAUCAAUAUUGAGGUCUUGAGUUGAGAAUUUGAGGAAUUUUAGGCCAAAAUUUGACUUUGGUCAACUUUUGAAGUUUCGAUGCUCGGAAUGGAAUUUCGACGACUCCGUUGGAUUCGAAGGAUGGUUUUUGGUCUAGAAGAAGUGCUGCCUAAAUUUUUAAAGAUCCCGAGCCCAUUUUGGUAUUUUGAAGGCCUAAGUUGGUUUAGUUGCGACUUUUUGAGUUUUGGGUCAGGGAGACCUCAAAUUUGAAUUCUGAUGGUUCCAUCAUCUUCGGAAUGGACAAAUUAGGCUAGUAGCUUUGUUGGCAUGAUUAUCGAGGCAAUCGAUACGAGUUUGAGGCCAUUUGGCGAUUUUGACUUUGAAACUUAGCCUAUGGCAACAUUGUUGAAAAACGCAUUCGGAUGAUAAUUCUGACAGCACGGUUAGUUCCGAAAUGUCGAGUUUGGUCUAGAACGACUCUUCGUUCGCUUUUCAAGGCUUUCGGUCUAAUCUCGAGGCUCAUUGUGGAAUAUGGCUUAAAAUGAAACUUGAGUGUGGGAUCCAUUUUUCAUUAAAAUGACCUUGUAUGGGAAUUUUGAAUGCGCCAUUGAGUCCGGAACGUCGAAUUUAGUGUGUUAGCAUAUUUGAUUUAUUUUUAUUGGAUUUCGAACAAAUCCCAAGCACUCAUCAGAGAUUUGGAUUUUUUCCAAAAUCUAUGUUGCAGCAAAAAAAAAAUCUGGUGCAAGGCAGCUCGUUUUUGGGUUUUUGUCUCAAUUUUAAAACCCCAUGACUUGAGUUCUAGCUCCAUUUUGGGUGAUUCGAAGCCCAGUGUGUUUGGAAAGUUCGUGGCUACGCAUUGGAGUGCUUCGGGACUGCUGGGUACUUUCCGUUUGAGGGUCUAAGUUCAAGAGAAUUUUGUGGGGAAUCCGCCGGUAAACUCAGAAUCUUGUAGGGAGGCUUUUGUGAGGUAAAUUUACGAAUAUAGCUAUUGUUUUGGCCAUUUUUGGAUUAAAAUUGUGUGGAAUUUUGGAAGAUUGUAUCUUGAUUAUUUGAACUCCAUUUUUAGUGAUUUUUAGAGGCUAGAUUGUGGGGGUUUUCGCAAGGAACGUCAUGGUGUAAUUUGUUUUGAAUGGGAGGGUCUAGUUUUUUUUCCAGAAUUUACUGAUCAAGAAGCUGUCAUUUUUAUCUUUUAGUUCGAAUUUUGUGAAUUUUGGUUGCAUGCUCGUCUUGCGUAGUUUUCCACCCCGAAUUGUGUUAUAGUGUUGAUUUGUGAGCUUGGGGUGAUGUUUAGAACCUAUUUUUGGGCUCAAAUUCGGAAUUACGGACGUGGGUCCCCCAUUCUCCGUUUUAGACCCUAAAAUAGGCCCGUCUCCAAAAAUUAUGAAAUUAGUGUCUAAACAACUGUAUCGACGUUGUGCUUCUAUUUUUGAUAGCGUGGCAGCGUUCCGAGACCACUCGAAAGAGAAUGGCUCCGACACUGUGAUUUGGAGCUCGCGUGUGCAGCCUACAGGUAGGCUACGAUUUUCCUUUCUUUAGAUUGAGCUGGAAUGUGUAAAAACAUGUUGAAAUAGUUGGAAUUUGGGUUGAGUUGCUUAAUGGUAUAUCUUAGGUGUUAAGUCAUGUUUUAGACUUGUUAUCGGGUUUUUCGGGUAUUUGAAAGCAUGCGUGUCUUACCGUUAUUUGUUAGUAUUAUAAGAAGAGUUGAAUGAGAAUAUUGCUGAUAUUGUGGAGUAUGUGAGCUGGAAUGUGUGAAAUCAUGUUGAAAUAGUUGAAAUUUGGGUUGGGUAGCUUAAUGGUAUAUCUUAGGUGUAAGAAAUUAUGCUUUAGACUUGUUAUCGAGUUUUUUGGGUAUUUAGAAGUAUGUGUGUCUUACCGUUAUUUGUUAGUAUUAUAAGAAGAGUUGAAUGAGAAUGUUGCUGAUAUUGUGGAGUAUGUUGGCCUUAGUAUAGGCUGUAAACCUGCUUUAGUUAAUCCGACGUCACUCCGACGGACUUAGAUCCUUGUAGAAUGAAGUAGCGGGCUAGUGCUUGGUAGUUGGCCUUAGCUAGGCGAUACCCUUACUCUUAAUAACACCCUCAUCCAUAACUCGGUAUAAUCAUGACUCCGAGAUGCAUCAACAAUACUAGACUCCGUGAUCGUUUAACUUCGGCUCCAGUUCAAGUUUUGGCUGCAUAUCAGUUGACACAUUGGGGAGGAGAUUCUCGGUACUGUUGUUGUCUAGUUGGAAAAGAGAAUAUUCGGCACCAUGGGAUAAAUUAUCUGUGAGCAUCUGGGUACCCAGUCGCGGCCUCCGUUCUGAAUUAUCGGGGAGCAUCCGGGUACCCAGCCCCUGCCUCUGCCGGCUUGCUAGUAUGACGAGCAUCCGGGUACCCAGUCUUGGCCUCGAUCAUACCGAUGCGUUACGACGAGCAUUGGGAUACCCAGUUCUGGCCUUGACCGCACUGAUGUAUUAUGGCGAGCAUUCGAGUAUCCAGUCUCGGCCUUGGCCACAUUGGACAUUCGGGCGAACAUCUGGGUCCCAGUCCCGACCUCGACCCCUAAGGCACCCCUAGUUCGUUGACUCUUGGAGAUUCUGGGUUUGGAAAUGAUACAGUUCUUCGGUUCCUGACCUCGCAGAUUCGUGGUUCCUAGUCUUGGUAGUUGUAACUAUUUUGUGUACUCGGCGGCUUAUGGGGGUUCGUCCGAAUUUUUAUUUAACUUGAGCACGAGUGUCCCUGCUAGGCUUAUGGGGUUCCAGUUGGGUAUAGUUAGUUGUAGCUCUCGUAGAUAUUAUUCUUUUCACUUUAGAUUCUUAUGUUGAUUCCUAUUUAAGCUUAUUCCUCUUUUUCAUAUUUUUUUCACAUUUUCUGCUCAGUUGGCCUAUAAUGCCUACUUGGUACUUGUUGUCUUGGUACUCAUACUACACUCUGUAUCUACUUUCGUG